UACGUAGGGUCCGAGCGUUGUCCGGAAUUAUUGGGCGUAAAGGGCUCGUAGGCGGUUCGUCACGUCGGGAGUGAAAACUCGGGGCUUAACCCCGAGCCUGCUUCCGAUACGGGCAGACUAGAGGUAGGCAGGGGAGAGCGGAACUCCUGGUGUAGCGGUGGAAUGCGCAGAUAUCAGGAAGAACACCGGGGGCGAAGGCGGCCCCCUGGGCCUUACCUGACGCUGAGGAGCGAAAGCGUGGGUAGCGAACAGG
rnacentral:rRNA from 1 species